CGGUUAAUGCAUUGAAAAUAGAAAAAAAAAAAAAAAAGAGACCUCCUAAAUAUCAGUAAGAGGUUUUGGCCACAAUCCUUUAAUUACAUUUAUUUUUAUUGACUAUACAUUUGUCAUAUUUAAUCAAGACCAAAAAAAAAAAAAAAAACCCUUCUGGAUAUAUAUGGAAAAUUGUGCUUCAAGAAUAAACAAGUGUACUUGAUAAAACAUGAAAGUACUGUCCAGAGAUACGUGUCCGAAUGACUCUUUAUGAAGAGUUAUAGAAUUAUAGGAAUUGACAUAUUUAUUGUCAAUGUUUAUUUCUUGAGUGCUAUUUGAUAUGUAGAGUUAUAGUUCACAUCAAUUUGUUCAGUGUCACUAAUGGGUCCUGUGUGUACAUUACCUACAGAGCUCCUCAAUCCAUAUAAUAUCGUGGUUGCAUUGGCGGGCAGUGGACUAAGGAAAUGAGAUUAGCUCGACGCUAAUUCCCAGUGUUUAAAUAAAAGACUUCAGCUUCAAAAUGCCAGAUGAGAUAAUAUCCCAGCCAAAUUGCAUCACACUAUACUAUCUGGUAUGCUUUUUAUUGCUUGAUAUAAAAAGAAACAGAUGAAUAUAAUAAUGCACUCUAAAAAUUUCUGUAUACCUCCUAUUCUUUAAAAAUUGAAUCGGUUUUCCCUUAAAUUGGUAGAUUAAUGAUGAAUCAGAGGUGUCACAUCUCUUUCUGAGUCUAUAAAUCAGGUGUAUGGUGAGCCACAUUUCCAGAUGUUUUGCACAAACUUCUCUGUCCGUGGGAUACACAGAAAUCUUUUUCUCUCCAUCACAGUCACUCUUUAGAAAUAGUGUUGAGUCAUGUGGAAUUACUUUUGUUUAAAUCAGAUGUGCAAUUUCAGGAAAAUAUAAAAACUACAAGCACCCAUUGAUUAGCAGAUAUUCUUAUUGAAUCACCGUAAUCAAAAAGAGAAAGGCAUCCCAUUUGGGUCUCCAUGACAUAAAUAAAAAGUAUAUUUGGGAUCAUAUCUUAAAGCGAGCACUUCACAAAGCCACUGUAGACUGAAGUAAAAUAUUAAGGAUCAUUCCAUUCUUUGUUCUUUCCAAGGAGUAAAGACCACUACAAGAAGUAAAAUGCAAUCAUUACAUUUUAGAGAAUUAUAUUUACAUUAUUCUUUAAUUUCUGUAUCUUCAGUUCCCAGGCACAUUUUGUACCUCCUCACACAAUUUAGCACCCUAUUAAUACAAACAAUUGCUGCAGCUUUAUCCUAGGAGAACAGCAUGCUGCACCUGCAUUAAAAUCAGUAAGCCAACAGACUGUGACUUAAGCCAGUCCCCUGAGUAAAGGGUUUGAGUGUGGGUCUGCAGCCCACAGCCUCCAGCAGGAGCAACAGGAGUUCUGUGUCUGUGCAGCCAGCACUGGAGAAUGGUUAAAUACUCUCCUCUUUUCCUAAUUUAGGUUGUCUGAAAGGGAGGCAUCUAGUCUGAAGUUACUUUCCAAGUUGUUUUUUUUUAAAAAAAAACUAGUGCAGAGCAGGUGCCAUCAGAGGAUGAACCUCACCCUCAAGAGGAGUUCUGCUGAAGCUGGCACACCCCAUUCUCUGGAGAUUUCUAGAUUGAUGAUGGAGGAAGCUGAAGGCAAUGUUUCAGACCAAACCUCCAACCUUUAAAAUCAGAACCAUUUCUGAGCUAGCAUGGCCCUGGAGAUGACAAGGGGAGAAACACAGCAGACUGGAGAGAGGCUUCCCUGGUGAGAGGAGAGCUGUGGUAGCCCUGGGGCUGUCAAGCAUGGCUCUGGCCCCAGAUGACAGGCAUUAUAUACAUUUGCCAGAAGCGACAAAUCUGGAGGAAGGGGCCUUCCUCUGAUCCUCACAGCAAAGGAGGGGAAAGAGCAGACAGCAUUAACCGGGGGUGAGGGGGGUACUCAGAGAGGAAUCCAAAUGUCCCCGGUUUAAGCAGCUGCACUCAAUUUAGUUCUGGUGAAGGCUGCUCAAUUGACAGCCCUGGAAACCAGUGCUGUGUGCUUAUAAGCAGUCUGGGCAGAGGGCUGCAACAUGGAUGGCAGAAGCACAAACUUGCAGAAAUUGCUUGUCCAUCUCAAAACAGACUUCAAGCAUCUGGCUCCAUGGAGCACAGCCGAACUGCCCAGGCAGACAUGGUCUUCUGAGGUCUGAAAGCAACAGUGCCAAAGAACUGCUGAAGGAUUUCUACAAGAAGUCGCAUGGAAAUACUGCUGAGAAAUUGGUCCUUCCGAGGAUCAGAGGAGAUGAAGCAAAACUAACUGUACAAUUUUUCACAAGCUUUCCAAAUGCAUUUUUUGCAGACUAGUGAUGACUUUCAGCUCUUUCCACCCACCAGUAAUUCCGGUUUUAUAGAACAGUGGAGGGAAGGCUAAGGAGAAGCAAAGUUCAUUUCCCACUUGCAUCAUUAGUGAAAAAACAUUCCUGGAGCUUUUAAUAGCAGCUGUCAGCAUUAAAGCUCAUGGUGUACAACUCAGAGGUAGAUUCAUCUCUCCUGAACAAAUUUAAUUAACAAAGCUGCACUACAGCAACACACAAGUAGGAGUGAGCAGUUAACAGCUCCCAGUCUAAAGUAUGAAGCUUCCUGAAGAAAUACUGCUGAUUAAAGCAGUGCAGUGAAAAGUUCUUCACAUAUCUAAAUUUCUAUCACUGUCCC
ensembl:lncRNA